AUUGAACGCUGGCGGCAGGCUUAACACAUGCAAGUCGAGCGGGGUGAGGUGCUUCGGUACUGAUCCUAGCGGCGGACGGGUGAGUAAUGCUUAGGAAUCUGCCAUUUAGUGGGGGACAACAUUCCGAAAGGAAUGCUAAUACCGCAUACGUCCUACGGGAGAAAGCAGGGGAUCUUAGGACCUUGCGCUAAAUGAUGAGCCUAAGUCGGAUUAGCUAGUUGGUGGGGUAAAGGCCUACCAAGGCGACAAUCUGUAGCGGGUCUGAGAGGAUGAUCCGCCACACUGGGACUGAGACACGGCCCAGACUCCUACGGGAGGCAGCAGUGGGGAAUAUUGGACAAUGGGCGGAAGCCUGAUCCAGCCAUGCCGCGUGUGUGAAGAAGGCCUUUUGGUUGUAAAGCACUUUAAGCGAGGAGGAGGCUACCUAGAUUGAUACUCUGGGAUGGUGGACGUUACUCGCAGAAUAAGCACCGGCUAACUCUGUGCCAGCCGCCGCAGUAAUAC
rnacentral:rRNA from 1 species